UCCUGGUUAACUCAGUUGGUAGAGCGCUCCACUGGAAAUGGAGCGGCCUCUGUUUCGAUAUCAGGACCAGGCG
rfam:Ixodes scapularis strain Wikel colony gcontig_1108379744960, whole genome shotgun sequence.